UUAUUAUGGCAGCACAUAUACUAAAAUUGGAAUGAUACAGAGAAGGUUAGCAUAACCCCUGAGUAAGGAUAACACGCAAAUUCGUUAACUGUUCCAUAUUUUU